rnacentral:rRNA from 1 species
UACGGAGGGAGCUAGCGUUGUUCGGAAUUACUGGGCGUAAAGCGCGCGUAGGCGGCUUUGUAAGUUAGAGGUGAAAGCCCGGGGCUCAACUCCGGAACUGCCUUUAAGACUGCAUCGCUUGAAUCCGGGAGAGGUGAGUGGAAUUCCGAGUGUAGAGGUGAAAUUCGUAGAUAUUCGGAAGAACACCAGUGGCGAAGGCGGCUCACUGGACCGGGUAUUGACGCUGAGGUGCGAAAGCGUGGGGAGCAAACAGG